rnacentral:rRNA from 1 species
GAGUUUGAUCCUGGCUCAGAUUGAACGCUGGCGGAAUGCUUUACACAUGCAAGUCGAACGGCAGCACGGGAGCUUGCUCCUGGUGGCGAGUGGCGAACGGGUGAGUAAUGCGUCGGAACGUACCGAGUAAUGGGGGAUAACGCACCGAAAGGUGUGCUAAUACCGCAUACGCCCUGAGGGGGAAAGCAGGGGAUCGUAAGACCUUGCGUUAUUCGAGCGGCCGACGUCUGAUUAGCUAGUUGGUGGGGUAAAGGCCUACCAAGGCGACGAUCAGUAGCGGGUCUGAGAGGAUGAUCCGCCACACUGGAACUGAGACACGGUCCAGACUCCUACGGGAGGCAGCAGUGGGGAAUUUUGGACAAUGGGGGCAACCCUGAUCCAGCCAUUCCGCGUGAGUGAAGAAGGCCUUCGGGUUGUAAAGCUCUUUCAGCUGGAACGAAACGGUACGCUCUAACAUAGCGUGCUAAUGACGGUACCAGCAGAAGAAGCACCGGCUAACUACGUGCCAGCAGCCGCGGUAAUACGUAGGGUGCGAGCGUUAAUCGGAAUUACUGGGCGUAAAGCGUGCGCAGGCGGAUUGUUAAGCAAGACGUGAAAUCCCCGGGCUUAACCUGGGAAUGGCGUUUUGAACUGGCAGUCU